rnacentral:lncRNA from 1 species
CAGAUGUUGAUAAUGUGCUAGUCAAUUCACUAGUCUCUUCUUUUUUCCCCAGAGAAUUUGCUGUGGCCCAUGGAUUCUGCUAAUGAGCAACUGAUCUAAGACCUCUGUUCAUUUUUGAUUGGACAAUGACACACAUUUGCUUUAAAGCUAUUCAAUUUGUUGGUUGUUUAAGGCUAAUCCUAUUCUAUAAAAUUUAACAGUCCCAGUGAUAUUCGGAGGAUUUUUGGACCCAGGUAUCUUAAGGUUAUAUAUUCCAAAGGCUGAUGGCCAAUUUCAGCUAUGCCUAAAAUAAAAAUAAACAGAUAAAUCAGAUUUCAAAUAAAAUGUAUUGAGUUUUCAGAUAAUAAGUAUGCAUGGGAAUGAGUGUCAGAGAGAAAAUGGAGAGAAAAGCCACCUGCUGACUCUAGUUCCUGGGAAUCCCAGCUAUACUUCCUUUGAGUCAGUAGGUGAGAUUCCCUUUUAUUCAUUAGACAGAUUCAUUUUUCCUUGGUGAAUUUUAGUUCAAUAAAAUAAUACCAUUCUUAACCAGGAAUAGUGUUAAGGAAGAAAAAUAAAAUAUUCCAGAGCACAGAUAUUUAGCUUAAUCUGCGCUCUGAAUUUCUUUUGCCUUGGAUUAAUAAAGUUUUGAGGAAGGGUUUUCACUUAGAAGAACAGACUAUGGAAAGAAAUAUAUGUAUACAUUAUGGGGAAAAAACAGAGCUCAAAACAUGAGGAGAGCAUUGUCAACAUCAAAUU